ACUCCUACGGGAGGCAGCAGUAAGGAAUAUUGGACAAUGGGCGAGAGCCUGAUCCAGCCAUGCCGCGUGCAGGAUUACGGUCCUAUGGAUUGUAAACUGCUUUUGUAUGGGAAUAAUAGCAAAUACGUGUAUUUGUAUGAAUGUACCAUAAGAAUAAGGAUCGGCUAACUCCGUGCCAGCAGCCGCGGUAAU
rnacentral:rRNA from 1 species